rnacentral:lncRNA from 1 species
AAAUUAUUAUUAUACAAAUUAAAAUAACCAAACUUUCAGAAAAAAAACCCUAAACUCCAAAAAUAGUUUAUAACUACGUAAUUUUCUAAUGCUUAAUUAUAUAACACUUUUUUGGUAUAUGCCAAACUCAUUUUCUACUAACUACUUAAAUGAGAGUAAUCAAAUAAAUUGAUUUUUAUGUAGAUUGAAGCACAAAGUUAGAAGACUUAAAUUCCAUCAAGGGCUCCAUGUUAGAAGUGCGAGCAUAAUUUGCAUGCAUAAACCAACGUUGACUUACUUGGUGGAGAGUGUAAUAUGUUGACAUUUCUAUCAAGUUUCGAGGAAUACUGCUUAUGAAGACAAUAAUGGUUUCCGCGUGGGUCAUAGGCUUCUCAUGGCA